ensembl:lncRNA
GUCCAACGAAGGAAGUUAUGAAAGGGAGAAUAUGGACGAUGAUUUCAAGACUUGCUGCUAUCGAAUACAGAUCACCCCGUGAUCAAUUUGAUCGAUUAUUAACGUUUAUUAAUACCUAAAGUUGGUUUACAAAGGUAGUUUGAAGUGUUUUGUCAAAGUUUAUAGGCAACUUUUUUAAUUUUAAAAAACGCUGUUGCGUUUUGGAAAGGUGCUUUUUCCUGGAUCAGACGGGCUUCAUAAAUGGACAUUUUGGGUAUACAUGGACGGAUUUAAUCGAAAAAAAAGACCCAAUUGUGAUGUUUAUGGGACAUAUAGGAGUGCCAACAAAGAAGCUCGUCAAAGGACCUGAGCCCUAGGACCAUGCCUCAGGACUACCUGACAUGAUGACUCCUUGCUGUCCCCAGUCCACCUGGCCGUGCUGCUCCAGUUUCAACUGUUCUGCCUUAUUAUUAUUGGACCAUGCUGGUCAUUUAUGAACAUUUGAACAUCUUGGCCAUGUUGUUAUAAUCGCCACCCAGCACAGCCAGAAGAGGACUGGCCACCCCACAUAGCCUGGUUCCUCUCUAGGUUUCUUCCUAGGUUUUGGCCUUUCUAGGGAGUUUUUCCUAGCCACCGUGCUUCUACACCUGCAUUGCUUGCUGUUUGGGGUUUUAGGCUGGGUUUCUGUACAGCACUUUGAGAUAUCAGCUGAUGUACGAAGGGCUAUAUAAAUACAUUUGAUUUGAUAUUGAAUGAGAAUAUAGAGCAAUAGACCAAAUUCCAUUCAUGGAACAUUCAAAAUGGUGCAUCCAAUACGACCAUCAUUUUACAUGGAAGGUUGUUUUGUAUGGGAAUGUGGUAUAAAUGUUUUGUAUAAUUUCAGCCAGUCAUUUUUUAAGUAGCACUCACGAGCCGAAACGGGCCCCUGAAACGUCAUCCAUUUUGUAUGAUAUGUUAAAUCCCGCAAAAUAUAUAUAUAUAUAUAUAUAUAUAUACAGUGCCUUGCGAAAGUAUUCAGCCCCCUUGAACUUUGCGACCUUUUGCCACAUUUCAGGCUUCAAACAUAAAGAUAUAAAACUGUAUUUUCUUGUGAAGAAUCAACAACAAGUGGGACACAAUCAUGAAG